rnacentral:rRNA from 1 species
UACGGGAGGCAGCAGUGGGGAAUAUUGCACAAUGGGCGCAAGCCUGAUGCAGCCAUGCCGCGUGUAUGAAGAAGGCCUUCGGGUUGUAAAGUACUUUCAGUCGUGAGGAAGGUGUUAAGGUUAAUAACCUUAGCAAUUGACGUUAGCGACAGAAGAAGCACCGGCUAACUCCGUGCCAGCAGCCGCGGUAAUACGGAGGGUGCGAGCGUUAAUCGGAAUUACUGGGCGUAAAGGGCACGCAGGCGGUUAAUUAAGUUGGAUGUGAAAUCCCCCGGGCUUAACCUGGGAAUGGCAUUCAAGACUGGUUAGCUAGAGUCUUGUAGAGGGGGUAGAAUUCCAUGUGUAGCGGUGAAAUGCGUAGAGAUGUGGAGGAAUACCGGUGGCGAAGGCGGCCCCUGGGACAAAGACUGACGCUCAUGUGCGAAAGCGUGGGGAGCAAACAGGAUUAGAUACC